UACGGGAGGCAGCAGUGGGGAAUAUUGCACAAUGGGCGCAAGCCUGAUGCAGCCAUGCCGCGUGUAUGAAGAAGGCCUUCGGGUUGUAAAGUACUUUCAGUCGUGAGGAAGGUGUUAAGGUUAAUAACCUUAGCAAUUGACGUUAGCGACAGAAGAAGCACCGGCUAACUCCGUGCCAGCAGCCGCGGUAAUACGGAGGGUGCGAGCGUUAAUCGGAAUUACUGGGCGUAAAGGGCACGCAGGCGGUUAAUUAAGUUGGAUGUGAAAUCCCCGGGCUUAACCUGGGAAUGGCAUUCAAGACUGGUUAGCUAGAGUCUUGUAGAGGGGGUAGAAUUCCAUGUGUAGCGGUGAAAUGCGUAGAGAUGUGGAGGAAUACCGGUGGCGAAGGCGGCCCCUGGACAAAGACUGACGCUCAUGUGCGAAAGCGUGGGGAGCGAAACAGGGAUUACAUACC
rnacentral:rRNA from 1 species